GAUGAACGCUAGCGGCAGGCCUACACAUGCAAGUCGAGGGGCAGCACAUAAAGUGGUUUACUACUUUUGGUGGCGACCGGCGGACGGGUGCGUAACGCGUAUGCAACCUGCCUCCAACAGGGGGAUAACGGAGAGAAAUUUCCACUAAUACCCCAUAAUAGCAGAAUAGGCAUCGGUUUUGGUUGAAAACUCCGGUGGUUGGAGAUGGGCAUGCGUUGUAUUAGAUAGUUGGUGAGGUAACGGCUCACCAAGUCAACGAUACAUAGGGGGACUGAGAGGUUAGCCCCCCACACUGGUACUGAGACACGGACCAGACUCCUACGGGAGGCAGCAGUGAGGAAUAUUGGUCAAUGGGGGCAACCCUGAACCAGCCAUGCCGCGUGCAGGAAGACGGCUCUAUGAGUUGUAAACUGCUUUUACAAGGGGAUAAAUCGGUGUACGUGUACACCGUUGAAGGUACCUUGGGAAUAAGGAUCGGCUAACUCCGUGCCAGCCGCCGCCGUAA
rnacentral:rRNA from 1 species